UACGUAGGGUCCGAGCGUUGUCCGGAAUCACUGGGCGUAAAGGGUGCGUAGGCGGGUCUUUAAGUCAGAGGUGAAAUCCUGGAGCUCAACUCCAGAACUGCCUUUGAUACUGAGGAUCUUGAGUUCGGGAGAGGUGAGUGGAACUGCGAGUGUAGAGGUGAAAUUCGUAGAUAUUCGCAAGAACACCAGUGGCGAAGGCGGCCAACUGGUCCGGAACUGACGCUGAGGUGCGAAAGCGUGGGGAGCAAACAGG
rnacentral:rRNA from 1 species